UCAUUAAGGGAUCAGCAGUGGAAGGGGUGAGCAGUUUCAAAUACCUGGCUGUCAACAUCGCUGAAGAUCUAUCCUGGGUCCAACUCAUUGAUGAAAUAACAAGGAAAGAACAUUAGAGAUUAAAUUUCAUCGGGAGUUUGAGAUGAUUUGGUGUUUCACCAAAUACUCUAGCAAAUUUCUACAGAUGUACCAUGGAGAGCAUUCGAUGUGGUUGCAUCACCGUCUGGUACAGACAGGCCACUGCACAGGAUCAGAAAAAGCUGCAGAGUUGCAAACUCAGCCAGCUCCAUCACGGGCACCAUCUUCCCCAGCAUUGAGGACAUCUUCAAAAGGCAAUGUCUCAAAAAGCCACAUCACACAGGACAUGUUCUCUUCUUAUUACUACCUUCAGAGAGGCGGUACAGGAGCCUGGAGACACACACUCAACAUUUCAGGAACAGCUUCUUCCCCUCUGCCAUCAGAUUUCCGAACAAUGAAGCAACUUAUGAACACUAGCUCCUACUUUUGCUCUGGAUUUGCAUGAGUUAUAUAAACAUGCAUCUUAUUGUAAUUUAUGAUGUUUAUGUGUUACACUGUACUGCUGCCACAACACAACAAAUGUCAGUGAUAUUAAACCUGCUUCUGAUACUGAUGGGAGUGAAGGCAGAAACUAGUUGAGUCUGACGAUCUGAUAUACCUGACUGUAGGUGACUGGACCAGGCCCAACUGCUGUCACUGGGAAACAACAGUUCCUGAGAAAGAGUUUGGGAUUGGGUGAUGAACAGAAAAGUGAAGGGAAAGUAAAGAGAGAGGAACAUAGAGAGAGAGUGAAGACAGAAGAGGAUAAUAACAUGGUGGGAGAGAAUGAUAUAGAGAGGGAGUGAUGAGAGGGGUGACAAAGAGGAAAUGAGGGGGAAAUGAUGUGGAUAUGCAGAGUGUGGGGGGAACAGGAGAGUGCAAGUCCGAGGAAGAGAUAAAGAGAGUGGGAGAGGAACAUGGUGAAGGAAAGGAAGCCGAAUAGAUUUUGUUUCUCUCCCGUGACUCUGGUACUACACAGAUUUAAAUGAAACGUACAGCGCAGGAGCAGAUUCAGACCAAUUAUUUCAUGCCAUUGUUUAUUUUCUGCAUGAACCUCCAGUCACUCCAUCUUUGUCCAACUGGGUUAACUUUUCCUUCUGUUCCCUUUCCCCACAUUUACUUCUGUGGGACAGAUCCACAUUCUCCCCACUCUCUGGAUAAAUAAUCCAAACUGGAUGAUUAGUGAAUAUUUACAAUAGUUUUAAUCCCCCUGAAGACUGAACCACUGUUCUCCUCCACCCUAUCAGGUAAUUUUAUUAUCUGUGAGGUGGAAAUAUGCUUUACCCUUCAACCUUCUCAUGACCCUCAUGACAGGGUGAAUUUGAGCAUCUAAACCAUUCAUGUAUUACUAAUGAGGUUAAAAAUGUGUCCCUGUUUCCACAGGAAAGAGCCCGAAAGUUGAAUCCAGUACAUUCCAGCAUCAAGGAGACUGUGUUCCUGCUGGGAGAAUUUCAUGGGACUGGGUUCACGUUUACCAUACAGAAUGAAAUGAAAUGAAUCAAAAUCAAAGGUCAAAAGACACAGAGACAGCAAGACCCUCUCCUCAUUACAGAGCAUUUGCCACGUGUCAGAAAUGGGCUCACUGUAAUGAUGAUUGAGUGUUACUGAUUGAUUUAUUGAUUAUGUUAUGGGAAUGAGCAGUUCAAAUGUACGUACACCUGCACUUUAUGUUCUGAAGCAGUUGGGAGACUGCCACCAACUACUUAAAGUGUGUUUGCUCAGACUGAGCACUAAGGUCCAUCUUGGUGAUCAGAUAAUUGUGAAUUGUCAUCAAUAAAGUGAAAAAGAAGGAGAAACUAAAAGAUG